CAUGGCGUCGCGUCUAGAAGAAAUGAUCCUAUGGUGCAAAGCCCAGAAGAGGGAAACGGAAAAAACGCCUCUUAGCCUUCCUGCGUUUAAAGUGCCAACGGAUGAAAUGCCUAGAGGCAGCAGGUUACAAUGUCCAGAGGAAGUUGCGGACCUUCAGACGGGAAGCUUGCUGGGCUUUAUUUCCUCGAGGGUCAGUGCCAAGAACCUGUCGUUCUCCUAGGAGGAGACAUGCUCACCGGAGAACUCGUUUUCAGUCACUCAGGAGUCGCUUUAAGUCUUCAGCAGCACGAACUGGUGUCAAAAAGAAACGGCUGAAAGGCAAAGGAAAAGGGCUGCGUCAUCGGUGUCUGGACUGUCGGGGGACGGCCAAAGAAACUGGACUACGUACAAGGCGACAUCUCAGACCACUGACUGUAACAUCCACGAUGACAUAGAUGAUAUAUUUGCCUCUGUAGGUUUGUGACCCUCUGGAAACAAAUCACUUUAAGCAGCUGAGCUCAGUAUAUGACCCGUGCCUCUGUUUUUUUUAAGGAAAAGUUGGAUGUUCAUGUGUCACUUCAUGUGUAAUGAAAUCUGAUCAUUCGACAUUGUUCUAUACAAGUAGUAAAGAGCAGCAGCGGAUUGUACAGUA